UACGAAGGGUGCAAGCGUUAAUCGGAAUUACUGGGCGUAAAGGGUGCGUAGGCGGUUGUUUAAGUCUGUCGUGAAAUCCCCGGGCUCAACCUGGGAAUGGCGAUGGAAACUGGGCAGCUAGAGUGUGUCAGAGGAUGGUGGAAUUCCCGGUGUAGCGGUGAAAUGCGUAGAGAUCGGGAGGAACAUCCGUGGCGAAGGCGGCCAUCUGGACCAGCACUGACACUGAGGCACGAAAGCGUGGGGAGCAAACAGG
rnacentral:rRNA from 1 species